AUUGAACGCUGGCGGCAGGCCUAACACAUGCAAGUCGAACGGUAACAGGAAGAAGCUUGCUUCUUUGCUGACGAGUGGCGGACGGGUGAGUAAUGUCUGGGAAACUGCCUGAUGGAGGGGGAUAACUACUGGAAACGGUAGCUAAUACCGCAUAACGUCGCAAGACCAAAGAGGGGGACCUUCGGGCCUCUUGCCAUCGGAUGUGCCCAGAUGGGAUUAGCUUGUUGGUGGGGUAACGGCUCACCAAGGCGACGAUCCCUAGCUGGUCUGAGAGGAUGACCAGCCACACUGGAACUGAGACACGGUCCAGACUCCUACGGGAGGCAGCAGUGGGGAAUAUUGCACAAUGGGCGCAAGCCUGAUGCAGCCAUGCCGCGUGUAUGAAGAAGGCCUUCGGGUUGUAAAGUACUUUCAGCGGGGAGGAAGGGAGUAAAGUUAAUACCUUUGCUCAUUGACGUUACCCGCAGAAGAAGCACCGGCUAACUCCGUGCCAGCAGCCGCGGUAAUACGGAGGGUGCAAGCGUUAAUCGGAAUUACUGGGCGUAAAGCGCACGCAGGCGGUUUGUUAAGUCAGAUGUGAAAUCCCCGGGCUCAACCUGGGAACUGCAUCUGAUACUGGCAAGCUUGAGUCUCGUAGAGGGGGGUAGAAUUCCAGGUGUAGCGGUGAAAUGCGUAGAGAUCUGGAGGAAUACCGGUGGCGAA
rnacentral:rRNA from 1 species